rnacentral:lncRNA from 1 species
CAAGGACCCAAAGCAAGCCAUUCCAUUUUGGGCACUAUAAAAGGAAAAGAAAAAAAAAGAAGAAGAGGAAGAAUAUUAUUUUAGUAAGAGCCAAAAACUGAGGCAGACACUAGGAAAAUAGGUUUGAACAAGAUAAACAAAGCCUUUUCCUCUAUGCAGUUGACCUUUUUCUGGAGAAACACACCUGAUAAGAAUUGUGUAGUUAUUUAAGUUCCAUUGUGAUGCAGGCUAUGAGGGGAAAUUAUAGGUUCAUAAUAGGAAUACCUGGUUUCUCUUGGGAGUCAAGGAAAUGAUUGUUGAAGAAAUGAUGUUCGUGCUGAGCUCACAAGAAUGAAGAAGAGGCCUUUACUGGGUCAAAGGCUGGAGAGAGUGUUCCAAAUAUGGAACAGAACAUGUAAGCACCCUGAGGCAGAAAGAAUGGCCAUUCAGUGGAUUGAAAGAAAACACUGAAGCAAGAAAGGAGCAAAAAGGACAGAUGGGUUCCAUGAAGAAAGCAAGCCCAGAUGAUGCAAGGAGUUUGCAGAAGAGGAAACUGAGGCACAGAGAACUUGAGCAACUUGCUCAUCGUCACACCAGGACUAAGCAGAUAAGGAGAAAGAGGUUAGCAGCAGGCCUGCCAUCUGUUGCUGGGGGACUCCUCAAGAAAGAAAGAAAAGACAUCUCAUCAGAUCUCAUUGUAAAUAUGCUAAUGACAGACUUCCUAGCAAGCAUACUAGUACUAUUUACUAACUGUUUCCAGGAAAGCCGCUGUCUCAAGAGUAUCAAGGAGCGGAGGCUUCCCAGACCUCAACUCCUCACUCCCGGCACUCAAACCUGCCUCAAACAGGAAGACGAGACAAGAGACAACUGCGACGGAUGCCCACCUACCAUCCUCCUAUCUCACCAUUCCCGCCCCGACCCCCCCGCCCCUACCCCAGCAAGCAGCCUCUCAAGGCCAAAUGCAGGCUGGUGGGAAAACGCCAGCCUGCACAGCUAGAUGCGCCCCCUCCCUUACCCAAAACCCCAAAUAAAAAUCCCUACCCAUUCCUCAUCGGGGAGCUAGCAAUUUUUGAGGCAUGAGCCCUUGCUUUGCUCCCUGUGCCUGGCAUAGUAAAAACCUUUCCUCUUCCACUCAAGACUCUGUUCUCAUUAUUUGGAUUGGCAUCGGGUUCAGAG